UAAAACGAUUUGUAAACCAUGUUA
rnacentral:siRNA from 1 species